GUAUGCAUAAACAAUUUAUGUACCUAAAUGCUUUCCUGAUUUAUAAAUCUGCAAUACUCUGACCAGUAAAUCAUAUGGCAUAAGGAUUCAUGCACAAUACAGGGUAAAUAUUAUACUCUGAUACUUCCCCUGAUUGAAGAUAGCUGAUCGGCACGGGCUAAGUGUGUCGCAGUCUGUACAAUGUCAAUGUUGUUUACUGUUGGAAUGCAAAUGGGGUUUAUCGUUUUGUUUCAUGGAUUAUGCAAAUAAAGGGAGUUUUACUUAGAGUAUUUUCGACAAGUGUACACGUACAUCUGCGGUCCUUUACAGAUAUUACGAGUAGGCCCAGGUAAAUAGUCGUCCGCAUUCGAUGCGUUUUCAUGGCGAGCAUACAUGCCAUGUUUAUAAGUACAAAGGUAUUUAUGUAUUUGCCUUUUACUUGAAGUAAUUGUGAAUGGUAUAGAUUGUAUACCCUUUGCUUAUUCCAUUUUAUCAAUAGAUAAUAGAUGAAAUAUUUCUCCGCAUUUUUGUAUAGUUUUGACAUAUUUACUGCAAUUGUACGCACAUUCACGUAAAGAAAAAGCAUUCUAUAUAUAUUUAUCCAAAUAUAUAUAUUUAGAAUGAUUUACAACUGUACGAUAUGUUUAUUAUAAUUUUGAGCACUGCGUGGUGUUCCAAAACGUGAUUUCAUUUCUUCUUGCUGUCCUAUAAAUUAGUAUCGGAGAUGUACGUGUUUCCUGUCGAAGCUACCCACACAGGUAAAUCGAAGACACUGAUGUGAAGUGAAGCGUAGCAAAGCUCGUCCCCUUAUAUACCAUGCGAACCCUGAUACAAAUAACAAUAGAAACUCCAACUAAUAUGGCGGAUUAGCAAAGAAAUAUGGCGGACGUAUAGAAUUAUACCAUAUUUAUUAAUUCAUGUCAGCUCUAAGUUAAUUCACAUUGCAAGUCUGCCAAAGUCUAUUGUCAAAUGAAUAUAAGACACUGAAUGUAAAUGUUGUGAUAUCGCUAAUGAAUGCAUUUUAUGAAACUCAAAGACAUAUUGCAUAUUUAAAAAAUGGUGAAAAAGAUUUGUUUGACACCUGCUGGAACCGCUGGAAUCAAUUAUUUCAUUGAGUGUUUGUUUGUUUUUGUUUUUUUUGUUUAAAAAAAAAUACAAAUUUCAAUAUGUAUGUACCUUUAAUAUAUUAGAUAAUGACUGAAUGCAUCUCUCUCUCUCUCUCUCUCUCUCUCAGAAAAGAAUAUAUACAAAUACCUUUGAUAGCUUCUUAUAAACAUUUUGUACAAGUUUUUUUGCAGAAUGAAUGUAUAUAUAUACUGUAUGUAGUUUAAAAAAAAAAAAAAAAAAAAAGAAAUAUUUAGAAAAAAAAUGAAUAUAUUUGGAAAUGUAUGUCCCAUUCAUCUUUUAGCAAGAAAAGGUUGUGACAUUAACAUAUUAAAUGUGUGAGUAAUUUUAAUUCUUUCAGUUGUGUAGGAAUUAGAAUACCUCCAACAUUUUCUGUAUGAAAUGAUGUGCACCAGCAAAUUCUUACCAGGAUCUAUUUUCUCCCGUUACUCCACACCGUUACUCCACAUUUGUUGACUGCGAAAAUGAACUCGAGCAAAUCUUUAUUGCUUAUCCUUUAAUGGGACAUCAGUACUUAAAAUUCGUUGUUCUGAAAGAGGCCAUGAUACAUUUAGUGUGCCUAAACACUGGACUCCCAUAUGAAGAGGCAAAUGAAAGAUGUACUAAAACAGAAAUGUCUGUAGCUGAAUUUAGACGUGGCACUAACUGAAAUUCAAGGAAGUUAUGGAUAUUUUUUUCUAUUUUGAGGGGAUGUUAUUUUCCAGAGAAUAUCUUAAAAACAGUCAACAGAUUUCAUUGAAACUUUCUAUAAAUACAUGUAGUAUGUAUAUAACUAAGUUGUGCACCUCAUGUAAUUUUUAUUGAGAUAAUUUAACAUUCAAGGAAGUUAUGGAUACCGUAUUUUACAAGUGUUUUUUCAAUUUCUUUUUGUAGUCAUUUUCUUUUAGAUUCUUUAACAAUCUGCUCUCUCACAAAGACUACUGCAUUAGUUAAUAUAUACAGCUCUUCAGCAGAAUAUAUUGUCUAGAUUAAUUGCUCUCAAGAAAGUAGACUUCUUCAUGUCAAAAGGUGGUGUUUAUUUUAUGACAUAUACAGUUCAAAUAUUGUCACCAAAUCAUAUCAGCUUUUUAUAAAUGCUCUUUUCACUGGUUGUGACAUAAAUGAUGGUAAUUUGCAUUGAUCUGUAAAGCAAAGUUAAUAUUCUAUAUAUAGUGCAGCAUAUAUUGUUAGUGUGGACAUCUGCAUGAUUGUACAUUAUGUGUGAAAUCUUGAAAUGGUGUCCAUGUGAAUAUGAUCUGUCUUAAAUUGUUAAUCUUAGAGGAUUCAGCUGAAACCUCUUGUCACAUUGCUAUAAAUAAAUCUGUUGACAGCAAACAAUUACGGAA